AGUCUGAUCCAGCAAUUCUGUGUGCACGAUGAAGUUUUUCGGAAUGUAAAGUGCUUUCAGUUGGGAAGAAGAAAGUGACGGUACCAACAGAAGAAGCGACGGCUAAAUACGUGCCAGCAGCCGCGGUAAUACGUAUGUCGCAAGCGUUAUCCGGAUUUAUUGGGCGUAAAGCGCGUCUAGGCGGUUUGGUAAGUCUGAUGUGAAAAUGCGGGGCUCAACUCCGUAUUGCGUUGGAAACUGCCAAACUAGAGUACUGGAGAGGUAGGCGGAACUACAAGUGUAGAGGUGAAAUUCGUAGAUAUUUGUAGGAAUGCCGAUGGGGAAGCCAGCCUACUGGACAGAUACUGACGCUAAAGCGCGAAAGCGUGGGUAGCAAACAGGAUUAGAUACCCUGGUAGUCCACGCCGUAAACGAUGAUUACUAGGUGUUGGGGGUCGAACCUCAGCGCCCAAGCUAACGCGAUAAGUAAUCCGCCUGGGGAGUACGUACGCAAGUAUGAAACUCAAAGGAAAUUGACGG
rnacentral:rRNA from 1 species